CACGUAGGGUGCGAGCGUUGUCCGGAAUUAUUGGGCGUAAAGAGCUCGUAGGCGGUUUGUCGCGUCUGCUGUGAAAACCCGAGGCUCAACCUCGGGCCUGCAGUGGGUACGGGCAGACUAGAGUGCGGUAGGGGAGAUUGGAAUUCCUGGUGUAGCGGUGGAAUGCGCAGAUAUCAGGAGGAACACCGAUGGCGAAGGCAGAUCUCUGGGCCGUAACUGACGCUGAGGAGCGAAAGCGUGGGGAGCGAACAGG
rnacentral:rRNA from 1 species